CUGCGACCCAAGGGGAGGCGGACGACGGUGGAGAGGCAGCGGUGGUGGCGCGGCUGGGAGCAGCGUCACCAACGAUCGCCGAGGAGGAGAGGUCGAGCGGCUGCGCUGCGACGCAAGGGGAGGUGGGCGACGGCAGUAGGGCUGGGAUGGACGCUGGCAGCGUCGUCUCCUGGCCGGGGAACAACGGCGGUGGUGGUCGCCGGCCGGGAAGCGGGGCGAUGGUGGGCGCUGGCCGGAGAGCAACAGCGGCGGGUGGCCUGGCCGGAAGUAGGGGACGCAGGGGUGGCUGCGGCUUCUUCUUCCUCUCGUGUUUCUUUUUUUUUUU
rnacentral:lncRNA from 1 species